AGAGUUUGAUUAUGGCUCAGGAUCAACGCUGGCGGCGUGCCUAACGCAUGUAAGUCGCACGGGUUGCCUUCGGGUGGCCAGUGGCGAACGGCUGAGGAACACGUACGAACCUGCCCCGGGCUGGGGAAUAACGCGCCGAAAGGCGUGCUAAUACCGCGUACGCUCACGGGUGACCGUGAGGAAAGCCGCGAGGCGGCCUGGGAGGGGCGUGCGGCCCAUCAGGUAGUUGGGGGGGUAAUGGCCUACCAAGGCAGUGACGGGUAGCUGUCGUGAGAGCGAGACCAGCCACACUGGGACUGAGACACGGCCCAGACUCCUACGGGAGGCAGCAGUAGGGAAUCUUGCGCAAUGGGCGAAAGCCUGACGCAGCGACGCCGCGUGAGGGAUGAAUGCCUUCGGGUUGUAAACCUCUUUCGGCGGGGACGAUAAUGACGGUACCCGCAGAAGAAGCCCCGGCUAACUUCGUGCCAGCAGCCGCGGUAAUACGAAGGGGGCUAGCGUUGCUCGGAAUCACUGGGCGUAAAGGGCGCGUAGGCGGAUCUUUAAGUCAGAGGUGAAAGCCCAAGGCUCAACCUUGGAAUUGCCUUUGAUACUGAAGAUCUUGAGACCGGUAGAGGUAAGUGGAACUGCGAGUGUAGAGGUGAAAUUCGUAGAUAUUCGCAAGAACACCAGUGGCGAAGGCGGCUUACUGGACCGGUUCUGACGCUGAGGCGCGAAAGCGUGGGGAGCAAACAGGAUUAGAUACCCCGGUAGUCC
rnacentral:rRNA from 2 species